UACGGAGGGUGCAAGCGUUAUCCGGAUUCACUGGGUUUAAAGGGUGCGUAGGUGGGUCUGUAAGUCAGUGGUGAAAUCUUCGAGCUUAACUCGGAAACUGCCAUUGAUACUAUAGAUCUUGAAUUUUCUGGAGGUAAGCGGAAUAUGUCAUGUAGCGGUGAAAUGCUUAGAUAUGACAUAGAACACCAAUUGCGAAGGCAGCUUACUACGGGAACAUUGACACUGAGGCACGAAAGCGUGGGGGAUCAAAACAGG
rnacentral:rRNA from 1 species